GUGCUGUUGAAGAGUCCCAAACUAGGACGAAACAGCUGUCCAGUAC
rfam:Trichobilharzia regenti genome assembly, scaffold: TRE_scaffold0056812